rnacentral:snoRNA from 1 species
GGUAAACACUGAUUAAACUUUGACAAUUAACAGUUGAAAUGAACUAUUCAGUAUAAAAUCACCAUCUUAAUCCAAACUGAACAGACCUUCCGCGGGUGGCUUACU